rnacentral:rRNA from 1 species
AUGCAAGUCGACGCCCCGCAAGGGGAGUGGCAGACGGGUGAGUAACGCGUGGGAAUCUACCGUACCCUACGGAAUAACGCAUGGAAACGUGUGCUAAUACCGUAUACGCCCUUAGGGGGAAAGAUUUAUCGGGGUAUGAUGAGCCCUCGUUGGAUUAGCUAGUUGGUGUGGGGUAAAGGCCUACCAAGGCGACGAUCCAUAGCUGGUCUGAGAGGAUGAUCAGCCACAUUGGGACUGAGACACGGCCCAAACUCCUACGGGAGGCAGCAGUGGGGAAUAUUGGACAAUGGGCGCAAGCCUGAUCCAGCCAUGCCGCGUGAGUGAUGAAGGUCUUAGGAUUGUAAAGCUCUUUCACCGAUGAAGAUAAUGACGGUAGUCGGAGAAGAAGCCCCGGCUAACUUCGUGCCAGCAGCCGCGGUAAUACGAAGGGGGCUAGCGUUGUUCGGAAUUACUGGGCGUAAAGCGCACGUAGGCGGAUAUUUAAGUCAGGGGUGAAAUCCCGCAGCUCAACUGCGGAACUGCCUUUGAUACUGGGUAUCUCGAGUAUGGAAGAGGUG